rnacentral:snoRNA from 1 species
UAUGCUGCAAGACGUGUGUACCCAGCAGUGUCUUUCUGAUGAUGUAUUCAAAAAGCAGCACUGCAGUGUUUCAGCUGCUGGCGUCGUGGUUUUCAGGUGGACAUGCUGAUUUAACUUGGUGUUUCUGUUGAAACAAGU